UACGGAGGAUGCGAGCGUUAUCCGGAUUUAUUGGGCGUAAAGCGUGCGUAGGCGGUUUAUUAAGUCUGAAAUAAAAGCCCGAGGCUUAACCUCGGUUCGUUUCAGAUACUGGUAGGCUAGAGUAUGGUAGAGGCAAACGGAAUUCCUAGUGUAGCGGUGAAACGCGUAGAUAUUAGGAGGAACACCAGUGGCGAAGGCGGUUUGCUGGCCAUUACUGACGCUGAGGUACGAAAGCGUGGGUAGCAAAUAG
rnacentral:rRNA from 1 species